CACGUAGGGGGCAAGCGUUGUCCGGAUUUAUUGGGCGUAAAGCGCACGUAGGCGGAUUGUUAAGUCGGGGGUGAAAUCCUGGAGCUCAACUCCAGAACUGCCUUCGAUACUGGCGAUCUUGAGUCCGGGAGAGGUGAGUGGAACUCCGAGUGUAGAGGUGAAAUUCGUAGAUAUCGGGAGGAACACCGGUGGCGAAGGCGGCGACCUGGGCCAAUACUGACACUGAGGUGCGAAAGCGUGGGGAGCAAACAGG
rnacentral:rRNA from 1 species